GAGCAAGAGAGAGUGAGAGAGCGAGAGAAUUCAGAAAUGAGAUCUCCCUGCCUUUGGCUGCAUCAGGAUUCUCACACACCUUUACCCACUCACCAGCCUUGCUAAAGCAGCAAGAUUCUUCAUCCACCGGCUAACAGAACGUACCGAGCGUUACCUUGCAUCUUUCUCUCUCUUACACGCACAUUCACACACACGCACAGAGACACACGUGAGCAAGCUCGCAGACCCAGCAGAGCAGCCAGAGAAAUUUAGAUUAACAGUGAUACUUUGAGAGGUGACUUACUGCCUUGCUGUCUGUCGGAGAGGACUAGAACUGCAGAUUGCACUGUAGAUAUGGAUCCAGAGAUGGAUAAGUGCUCUUCCAUCUCUCCUCAGAAACAGGUGGUGAAGAACCGGUCAAAGUCGACUGGGGAGAUCCAGCAAGCCAAAAAGGCCUUUCACACGCCUCAGAAGUCUUUGCCAGGGAGGUCGGACCUGGAGAAGCUGAAGGAAACCUCAGAGGCUUUGGAGACUGCAUCCUCACCCUCAGAGGAGCUGAAAUGAUGGAAGCUGUGAGGAAGACGAGCUGACUCACUGACCAUCAUCUAAGGGUUCCUCGCUGGAUUUUAUUGUGGUUGGAGCCAUUUGUGCUGUUGCUUUUAUGUUGGAGAAAAGAACAUAUUGCCUAUCUGUGACAUUAGCUAAACUUCACCCCAGCAAAACUGUGUUCCACCCAGUACAUUAUAUUAUAUCAUUUAACAGACGCUCUUAC